rnacentral:rRNA from 1 species
AUUGAACGCUGGCGGCAUGCCUUACACAUGCAAGUCGAACGGCAGCACGGGGGCAACCCUGGUGGCGAGUGGCGAACGGGUGAGUAAUGCAUCGGAACGUGCCCAGUAGUGGGGGAUAGCUCGGCGAAAGCCGGAUUAAUACCGCAUACGACCUACGGGUGAAAGCGGGGGACCGCAAGGCCUCGCGCGAUUGGAGCGGCCGAUGUCAGAUUAGGUUGUUGGUGGGGUAAAGGCCUACCAAGCCGACGAUCUGUAGCUGGUCUGAGAGGACGACCAGCCACACUGGGACUGAGACACGGCCCAGACUCCUACGGGAGGCAGCAGUGGGGGGUUUUGGACAAUGGGGGAAACCCUGAUCCAGCCAUGCCGCGUGCGGGAAGAAGGCCUUCGGGUUGUAAACCGCUUUUGUCAGGGAAGAAACGCGCUGAGCUAAUACCUCGGCGUAAUGACGGUACCUGAAGAAUAAGCACCGGCUAACUACGUGCCAGCAGCCGCGGUAAUACGUAGGGUGCAAGCGUUAAUCGGAAUUACUGGGCGUAAAGCGUGCGCAGGCGGUCUUGUAAGACAGAGGUGAAAUCCCCGGGCUUAACCUGGGAACUGCCUUUGUGACUGCAAGGCUUGAGUGCGGCAGAGGGGGAUGGAAUUCCGCGUGUAGCAGUGAAAUGC